rnacentral:misc_RNA from 1 species
GAAAAGAACUUUGAAAAGAGAGUUAAACAGUACGUGAAAUUGUUGAAAGGGAAACGAUUGAAGCCAGUCGUACCGACGGAAAAUCAACUUUUCGGGUGCCUAUCGUGGGUGACGUUGAGCUUCACGGUCUUCGUUGCUUGUGUUGUUGGUAUCUUUGGAGUGUACUUUUUCGUAUGGUAGGUCAACAUCGAUUUUGAUCGUCAUAAAAUGAUCGGAGGAAUGUAGCUUCGAUUUCGAUCGGAGUGUUAUAGCCUUUGAUAGAUGUGUCGAUUGGGAUCGAGGAUUGCAACGAAUACCCUU